rnacentral:lncRNA from 1 species
GUUAUUUUUGUCAUUUUCAAUCCUAAAAGUUGCUUUUCAGAUAACACUGUCACACCACGUUCUCUUUCACUAUUCUUUUCUUCUUUUCUUCCUUAUUUCAUUUUCUCUCACUCUCUCCCAUUUCUUCUCACUCUCAAAGUCAGAUUCAAAAAAAAUUGAAUCCAUCUUCAUCUUUCUUUACCCAAUAACAAUCACUUCUUUUUGUUUUCUGAUUAUGUGCUUAUGAUUUUGUUUAUUUCUCUUUAAAGAAAUUCAAUUUACUUGCUUUGUUGUUUGCUUUUGUUGUUGUUGGAAAGGAAGGAAAGCACAAGAGAAGGAAAUCAGGGGAACAUAUAUAUGCACCCAACAAGGAGAAGGAAAGUAUGUGAGAAGGAAGAACAAAUUUAUGGAUUUUGAAGCUUUGUCUCAGAGAUAAAGAUUUUUAUUCGAGAUAAAGAAAAUGGGGAAUGAGAGAAGGGGGAAUUUCUUUAGAAUUUGAUGCCCAUAUCAACAAAUAGAUUCCAAUAAAGCUUACAUGAUCAGUCUUGCAGAUUUGGUACUAAACUUUAUGAAAGUCAAAUCUACAUGACAAGGAAGGGGUUUUAUUUUUCUGUGGUGGGGAAAUAUAAGAAGUUGAGAAUGACCCUUUUUUCAAAGUAACUCCUUAAAAAAAUUUGUUUUAAUAGAAAUAUAGAGGAAGAUUAAAGGAUAACAAAUAUGAAAUUUAUUUGCAUAAAAGGUGAUCGGAAAUGGAGAGCUAGGUGGCCGGUUUGUGGCUAGAGGCUUGAGUUUUGGGAGAAAUUGGAGAAGAAGGAACGAGAUAGAAUGAAAAGUAAUAAUGGAAUGGAGUGGGUGAGAGAUUCCCGAAAAAUAAAUCGGGAAUAAGCCCAAAUUUAAUUUUAUAUGUGUGGGUUGAAAAGUCAAAGAUGGAAAGAAAUCAUAAAAAAUCGAUUUUUUUUUAUUUGAGAACAAAUUGAUUUGUUCUAUCGGAUAAAAUUAGUGUUCUUAUUGGUCUUUAUGUGAAACAAAUCUUAGUAAUUAAAAUCAAUGACUAAUAUUAAUUUUUUUUAAUAUCGUCGAUAUAAAAUUGAGAUCAAUAUUAUCGUACACUAAUCUAACUAUGAUUAUUCAUACUUAAUUUUUUCCACAUUGUUUUUCUAGAAAUGGAUCACACCAAAAAACCCGUUGGAGUGUUAACACGGGAUCCAUAUUAGUAACUUAAAUCGUUGACUAAUAUUAACUAUUAUUUUUUAAUAUCGUCGAUA